CGGCUCCCUCUUCCGGGCGGCAUGGCGGCGGUGCGGCGGGCGCGUGUGGCAGGGUGCAAAGCCAGGGUGAAAACACUCACCUGCUUAGGAAGCUGAUUCCUUCACUGGACCAGCACUAAACCUGCACCAUGGAGGAAAGCAUCCUGCAGAGGCCUGGGGCUGUACUGCUGCCCAGAGACAGCUUUGGCAAGAGAGCAAGUUGGGCUUCAGACUGAAGAUCAGUAACACUUCCUGACAGGCUGAGCCAACAGACGUGACAGCGGACUUCCUUAACAACCAAGAAGCAGCAGAAGGAAGAUGGUUCUGGAGCAGAUUUCACAAAUGGCCAUUGAUAGACCGUUGGAAACAGGGUGAAAUGGCCACCAGUGUGUAACUGCAGGCUUCUCCUCACUGCAGCCCCAUCGUGGGUGAGGAGCUCUUCAGCUGACAGUUGCUCUGCUCUGACACUGUCUUUUCUCACCUAGGACCCGAUCUGCAGCUGGCAGGAGGAAGAAGUGCUUCCCUGCUGUUUGCUGUUCUGGAAUAAAACAGGUUGUGGAAAAUCAGA